CUGCGGGAGAGGGGGAAAGGGCAGUUGUUGUUUGAUGGGUUCAUAGUUUGUUUUGCAAAACGCGAAAUAGAAGUUCUGGAGAUUGGCGCCGCAACAACGCGAAUGCACUUGACACUGCUGAACUGUACAGCUAAAAAUGGUGACGAUGGUAAGUUUCAUUUCACCACAACUGGAAAAUAAAAAAAUAAAAAAGGAGCUCUACCAGGAAUUCAUUAACCAGGCACAUGUUCUGCAGGAUGUGCCUGUACUUCCUUUCACUGCUGGGGCAAACCCAGGGCUGGACGACGGGAUAAUGCCAAGUCACUGUGCUACCCUGACAGCUCGUCAAGAAGUAGACAGAAGGCUAUUUUCAAUGUCCUGGCUGAAAGGGUUCUUGUUGCCAUGACGCUGGAAGAAAAAAAGCACAAAGAUUUGAGAAUGGAAAAAAAGAUGGUACAAAAUGAAGCCUGCC